rnacentral:rRNA from 1 species
AGGGAAACCGAGUCUUAACUGGGCGUUAAGUUGCAGGGUAUAGACCCGAAACCCGGUGAUCUAGCCAUGGGCAGGUUGAAGGUUGGGUAACACUAACUGGAGGACCGAACCGACUAAUGUUGAAAAAUUAGCGGAUGACUUGUGGCUGGGGGUGAAAGGCCAAUCAAACCGGGAGAUAGCUGGUUCUCCCCGAAAGCUAUUUAGGUAGCGCCUCGUGAACUCAUCUUCGGGGGUAGAGCACUGUUUCGGCUAGGGGGUCAUCCCGACUUACCAACCCGAUGCAAACUGCGAAUACCGAAGAAUGUUAUCACGGGAGACACACGGCGGGUGCUAACGUCCGUCGUGAAGAGGGAAACAACCCAGACCGCCAGCUAAGGUCCCAAAGUCACAGUUAAGUGGGAAACGAUGUGGGAAGGCUCAGACAGCCAGGAUGUUGGCUUAGAAGCAGCCAUCAUUUAAAGAAAGCGUAAUAGCUCACUGGUCGAGUCGGCCUGCGCGGAAGAUGUAACGGGGCUAAACUGUGCACCGAAGCUGCGGCAGCGACGCUUAUGCGUUGUUGGGUAGGGGAGCGUUCUGUAAGCCUGCGAAGGUGUCCUGUGAGGGAUGCUGGAGGUAUCAGAAGUGCGAAUGCUGACAUAAGUAACGAUAAUGCGGGUGAAAAGCCCGCUCGCCGGAAGACCAAGGGUUCCUGUCCAACGUUAAUCGGGGCAGGGUGAGUCGACCCCUAAGGCGAGGCCGAAAGGCGUAGUCGAUGGGAAACGGGUUAAUAUUCCCGUACUUGGUGUUACUGCGAAGGGGGGACGGAGAAGGCUAUGUUGGCCGGGCGACGGUUGUCCCGGUUUAAGCGUGUAGGCUGGUUUUCCAGGCAAAUCCGGAAA